rnacentral:rRNA from 1 species
GACGUAGGAUGCGAGCGUUAUUCGGAUUUAUUGGGCGUAAAGCGUGCGUAGGCGGCUGUUUAAGUCUGGUGUUAAAGCUAGGGGCUCAACCCCUGUGGUGCACUGGAAACUGGGCAGCUUGAGUGCGGUAGGGGAAGGUGGAAUUCCGAGUGUAGCGGUGAAAUGCGUAGAUAUUCGCAAGAACACCAGUGGCGAAGGCGGCUCACUGGCCCGGUACUGACGCUGAGGUGCGAAAGCGUGGGGAGCAAACAGG